rnacentral:rRNA from 1 species
UUUAUGGAGAGUUUGAUCCUGGCUCAGGACGAACGCUGGCGGCGUGCCUAAUACAUGCAAGUCGAGCGAACAGAGAAGGAGCUUGCUCCUUUGACGUUAGCGGCGGACGGGUGAGUAACACGUGGGCAACCUACCUUAUA